AUUGAACGCUGGCGGCAGGCCUAACACAUGCAAGUCGAGCGGGGUUUUCGGACCUAGCGGCGGACGGGUGAGUAAUGCGUAGGAAGCUGCCCGAUAGAGGGGGAUACCAGUUGGAAACGACUGUUAAUACCGCAUAAUGUCUACGGACCAAAGUGUGGGACCUUCGGGCCACAUGCUAUCGGAUGCGCCUACGUGGGAUUAGCUAGUUGGUGAGGUAAUGGCUCACCAAGGCGACGAUCUCUAGCUGGUUGGAGAGGAUGAUCAGCCACACUGGAACUGAGACACGGUCCAGACGCCUACGGGAGGCAGCAGUGGGGAAUAUUGGACAAUGGGCGCAAGCCUGAUCCAGCCAUGCCGCGUGUGUGAGGAAGGCCUUCGGGUUGUAAAGCACUUUCAGCGAGGAGGAAGGGAGGUGUGUUAAUAGCACAUCAUUUUGACGUUACUCGCAGAAGAAGCACCGGCUAACUCUGUGCCAGCCGCCGCCGUAA
rnacentral:rRNA from 1 species